rnacentral:rRNA from 1 species
GGACAAUCUGCCCUCGAGACGGGGAUAACCCCGGGAAACUGGGGAUAAUACCCGAUAGGUCUGAGAUGAUGGAAGGCCCUCAGGCCCAAACCCUGCGGGGCUCGAGGAUGGGUCUGCGGCCUAUCAGGUAGUAGGGGGUUUCACGGACCCCCUAGCCAUAGACGGGUACGGGCUUUGGGAGAAGUCGCCCGGAGAUGGAUUCUGAGACACGAAUCCAGGUCCUACGGGACGCAGCAGGCGCGAAACCUCCACAAUGUGGGCAACCACGAUGGGGGAACUCCAAGUGUCUACACUAUGUGUAGUCUGUUCUCGAGCCUAAAAAGCUCGAGAAGUAAGGGCCGGGUAAGACGGGUGCCAGCCGCCGCGGUAAUACCCGCGGCCCGAGUGGUGCUCAUUAUUAUUGAGCCUAAAGCGUCCGUAGCUGGCCGGGCAAAUCUCCGGGUAAACCGGGCCGCCCAACGGUCCGAACGCCGGAGACACUGCUCGGCUUGGGAUCGGGAGAGGGUGAAGGUACUCCCGGGGUAGGGGUAAAAUCCUGUACUCCGGGGGGGACCACCAGUGGCGAAGGCGUUCACCUAGAACGAAUCCGACAGUGAGGGACGAAGCCCUAGGGCGCAAACGGGAUUAGAUACCCCGGUAGUCUAGGGUGUAAACUCUGCAGACUUGGUGUUGGGGGUCCUGCGUGGGCUCCCAGUGCCGGAGUGAAGAUGUUAAGUCUGCCGCUUGGGGAGUACGGUCGCAAGACUGAAACU